AUUGAACGCUGGCGGCAUGCUUUACACAUGCAAGUCGAACGGUAACAGGCCGCAAGGUGCUGACGAGUGGCGAACGGGUGAGUAAUGCAUCGGAACGUGCCCAGUCGUGGGGGAUAACGCAGCGAAAGCUGCGCUAAUACCGCAUACGAUCUCUGGAUGAAAGCGGGGGACCGAAAGGCCUCGCGCGAUUGGAGCGGCCGAUGUCAGAUUAGGUAGUUGGUGGGGUAAAGGCUCACCAAGCCAACGAUCUGUAGCUGGUCUGAGAGGACGACCAGCCACACUGGGACUGAGACACGGCCCAGACUCCUACGGGAGGCAGCAGUGGGGAAUUUUGGACAAUGGGCGCAAGCCUGAUCCAGCAAUGCCGCGUGCAGGAAGAAGGCCUUCGGGUUGUAAACUGCUUUUGUACGGAACGAAACGGUCCUGGUUUAUACCUGGGGCUAAUGACGGUACCGUAAGAAUAAGCACCGGCUAACUACGUGCCAGCCGCCGCCGUAAAAC
rnacentral:rRNA from 1 species